UACGGGGGGGGCAAGCGUUGUUCGGAAUUAUUGGGCGUAAAGGGCGCGUAGGCGGUGCGGCAAGUCUCCUGUGAAAUCUCCGGGCUCAACUCGGAGUCUGCAGGAGAAACUGCCGUGCUUGAGUGUGGGAGAGGUGAGUGGAAUUCCCGGUGUAGCGGUGGAAUGCGUAGAGAUCGGGAAGAACAUCAGUGGCGAAGGCGGUCUGCUGGGCCGUUGCUGACGCUGAGGCGCGACAGCGUGGGGAGCAAACAGG
rnacentral:rRNA from 1 species